rnacentral:rRNA from 1 species
UACAGAGGUCUCAAGCGUUGUUCGGAUUCAUUGGGCGUAAAGGGCGCGUAGGCGGCGUGACAAGUCACUUGUGAAAUCUCCGGGCUUAACUCGGAACGGUCAAGUGAUACUGUCGUGCUAGAGUGCAGAAGGGGCAAUCGGAAUUCUUGGUGUAGCGGUGAAAUGCGUAGAUAUCAAGAGGAACACCUGAGGUGAAGACGGGUUGCUGGGCUGACACUGACGCUGAGGCGCGAAAGCUAGGGGAGCAAACGGG